rnacentral:rRNA from 1 species
AAUAUGGCACAAUGGGCGAAAGCCUGAUCCAGCAACGCCGCGUGAGUGAUGAAGGCCUGAGUUUUGAAACGCUCUUUGACGAGGGAUAGUAAUGACAGUUCCUGGCGAAUAAGCUCCGGCUAACUCCGGUCCAGCAGCCGCGGUAAUACGGAGGGAGCCAGCGUUGUUCGGAAAUACUGGGCGUAAAGCGCACGUAGGCGGCAGCGUAAGUCAGAGGUGAAAUCCCGGGGCUCAACCCCGGAACUGCCCUUGAAACUGAAGUGCUAGAAGCUUGGAGAGGCGAGUGGAAUUCCGGGUGUAGCGGUGAAAUUCGUAGAUAUUCGGAAGAACACCAGUGGCGAAGGCGACUCACUGGACAAGUAUUGACGCUGAGGUGCGAAAGCGUGGGGAGCAAAC